CAUACACACAUACACACACAAAAAAUGGGUAAAUUUUUCUGCAGAGAGUAUUUAUUUUUUGCGUGGGAGUCGAACACGGCGCAAAAUUUGCAAUAAGAGAUAACAAACAAAAAUUCCCAUUAAUGGGUAAAUCGAGUUUCUCCGUGUAUGCCGUUUUCAUCCGUCAUAAAUUCAAUGCUUACACGGAAGAAAAAAAGUACCCAAAAUUGAGUACUUUUAAACUUACUUUUGAGUUAUUUUUUCUCUUCGCUUUCAUCCACUCUUUCUUUUGUUGUCAAAAACAAAAGAGCCAAACAAUCCAACGACGCCAGUUCAAUACGGGAAGCCAAUUUUAAGUUUUAUUACCUGAGGUCGAAAUUGAGUGAAUUAAACUUAAAUUUGGGUCAAUAAAUUUUCCGUUGGGUACAUUUUUAACAUGGGAGUAAAGGCAAACUACUUCGACCCUACUUACUCAAUUUUGGCUUCCCGUACGGAUGUUCGAGGUUGGGUGAAUUAAACUCACUAUUGGGUAGUUUAUUUCUUCCGUGUAGGGUCUGUCUCAAUUGGAUAAUUAAACUGAAAUUAAACUUAAAAGUGACAUUUCAAUAAUUAUCGAAUAACCCUGCUCGCAGAGCAAGAUUACUUUUGACAGAUAUCGAAUCAUUUUCCAUCGAUGUCCUAUUGGAAUUGCUGGGUAGCACCAGCCAUUCUUAUAACGGGGUGAUUUUUUAAUUUUCGAACUGUCACUUUUAAGUUUAAUUCUCCAAAUGAGACAGACCUUAAAAUACCCCACACUUCGGUAAGUAUUCAUUCGUUUGUAAACAAAAUGUUUAUCGCACCAGCACGACUUCGUGACUUCGUGAGUGUUAUGCAAGUCUGACAAACAGUAACAGAACGUACAGAAGACGUGAAUGCCGCAUUCUUCAUAUUAAUCUUUGGAAGCAAUGCGAUACGGGCGUUCCAGACUACCGGAAUUCAUCCUAGUAACAGUGUUCGGAAUAGGAGGUGGAUUCUACGCGUUCUUACCGGCGAUCAAACAGUAUCAGCAAGAACAGGCAUCUUCGUCCUCGUCUGGGAUAGUAGUCGAUACAAGCCAAGCUACAGCCUCGUCGGACAAGUAGAAUUAGGGCACUUAGAAUAACCAGGAAAUAAAAAUGUCUACAUUGGGUAACAUGUACCGGAUGCUACGGGGUUCUCCCGUUAUGUUCCUCGGAGGUGCCAUACUUAUAACCGGUUCCAGUGUAUUUUUCAUGAAGAAUGUGUAUGGCCCAUACAGGGCUCGAAAUCGGCGUUCCGAGGCGGAAUACGUUGCGGACUAUCUGUUCCAAAGGGAACAAGGGUCACGAGGCGUGGAUUUUCAAAAUGACAAGGAAUUUUAAAUUUGUAGAUUGCUGUACGAAUAACAUCAUACAUAAGUAGUACCCCGAUUAUGAUCAUGAAUUACGGCAAUAAAACUUCUAACUGAAUCUGAGAA